GAUUAUGGCUCAGGAUGAACGCUAGCGACAGGCUUAACACAUGCAAGUCGAGGGCAGCAAUAAAGUAGCAAUACGUUUGGUGGCGACCGGCGCGACGGGUGAAGUAACGCGUAUGACCAACCUACCUAUCAGGAAGGGGAACUAACCGGCGAAAGUCGGACUAAUACCGCAUAAAACAGGGGCACCGCAUGGUGAUAUUUGUUAAAGAAAUUCGCUGAUAGAUGGGCAUGCGUUCCAUUAGGUAGUUGGUGAGGUAACGGCUCACCAAGCCGACGAUGGAUAGGGGAACUGAGAGGUUGGUCCCCCACACUGGUACUGAGACACGGACCAGACUCCUACGGGAGGCAGCAGUGAGGAAUAUUGGUCAAUGGGCGGGAGCCUGAACCAGCCAAGUCGCCGUGAAGGAAGAAGGAUCUAUGGUUCGUAAACUUCUUUUGCAGGGGAAUAAAGUGCAGGACGUGUCCUGUUUUGUAUGUACCCUGAGAAUAAGGAUCGGCUAACUCCGUGCCAGCCGCCGC
rnacentral:rRNA from 1 species